GCAGUUCCAACGUCUGCACCAGUACAGCUGAUGUUCAGAGUAGGAGCGAUAAAACUUACUCAUCUCAUGCAAACAUUCCACAAGUGAAGAACCUUCGCCUGGAAUUCAACGUAGGAGCUCCUUUUAUUCAUGAUGAUUUCCAUUAUUAUGAAAGAUAACUGGGACCACAACGACUCAACAUACAGGAGCUCCUUGUUGCUGCCUUUCUUCAAACAGCGAUUCACAAAGGUGCUAUUCCGUCAGCGGAGCUCCGCACUAACUUGUCCCAUCUGCACCGUAUUCCUUUACGGAUAAAAAAAUGAAAAAAACAGUCUAAAUAAACCACCAACACCAAAUGGACAAUUAAGUUAUAAAAGAAAACUAGGUCGCAACAAAAACUCCAACAAAUUUUAAUUGUUUUUACUAUUAAACAAUUUUGCAAGAACUGUUUGGCAUUUGCUGCUUUUAAAAUGCUGUGCUGUUUGGCUAUUUAUUUCCCAAUUGGAUAAUAUUGUGCCAGUUAGCGUUAGUGUUUCAAUCCCGCCUAGUGGU